CCUGGCUCAGGAUGAACGCUAGCGGCAGGCUAACACAUGCAAGUCGAGGGGCAUCGGGAGUAGCAAUACUGCCGGCGACCGGCGCAAGGGUGCGUAACGCGUGAGCAACAUGCCCGUAUCAGGGGGAUAAUCCAUGGAAACGUGGUCUAAUACCCCAUAGUAAUUAUGUAAGGCAUCUUAUAUAAUUUAAAGCUUUGAUGGAUACGGAUUGGCUCGCGUGACAUUAGCUAGAUGGUAAGGUAACGGCUUACCAUGGCUACGAUGUCUAGGGGUUCUGAGAGGAAGGUCCCCCCACACUGGAACUGAGACACGGUCCAGACUCCUACGGGAGGCAGCAGUGAGGAAUAUUGGACAAUGGAUGGAAAUCUGAUCCAGCCAUGCCGCGUGCAGGAAAAGACGGCCCUAUGGGUUGUAAACUGCUUUUGUAUGGGAGCAAUAAGGGCUACGCGUAGUCCGAUGAGAGUACCAUACGAAUAAGCACCGGCUAACUCCGUGCCAGCAGCUGC
rnacentral:rRNA from 1 species